UCUCCGUUGGUGAACCAGCGGAGGGAUCAUUACAGAGUCGUAAAACACUCCCAAACCCAUGUUAACUUACCAAUGUUGCCUCGGCAGUAGUUGCUGGGCGAGCCUACCCGGGAACGAGCUACCCUGUAGCGAGUUACCCUGGAACGGCUUACCCUGUAACGGCUGCCGGUGGACUACCAAACUCUUGUUAUUUUAUUGUAAUCUGAGCGUCUUAUUUUAAUAAGUCAAAACUUUCAACAACGGAUCUCUUGGUUCUGGCAUCGAUGAAGAACGCAGC
rnacentral:misc_RNA from 1 species